rnacentral:rRNA from 1 species
AGUGAACGCUGGCGGUAGGCCUAACACAUGCAAGUCGAACGGCAGCACAGUAAGAGCUUGCUCUUACGGGUGGCGAGUGGCGGACGGGUGAGGAAUACAUCGGAAUCUACUUUUUCGUGGGGGAUAACGUAGGGAAACUUACGCUAAUACCGCAUACGACCUACGGGUGAAAGCAGGGGAUCUUCGGACCUUGCGCGAUUGAAUGAGCCGAUGUCGGAUUAGCUAGUUGGCGGGGUAAAGGCCCACCAAGGCGACGAUCCGUAGCUGGUCUGAGAGGAUGAUCGGCCACACUGGAACUGAAACACGGUCCAGGCUCCUACGGGAGGCAGCAGUGGGGAAUGUUAGACAAUGGGCGCAAGCCUGAUCCAGCCAUACCGCGUGGGUGAAGGAGGCCUUCGGGUCGUAAAGCCCUUUUGUUGGGAAAGAAAAGCAGCAGGUUAAUACCCCGCUGUUCUGACGGUACCCAAAGAAUAAGCACCGGCUAACUUCGUG